GAUGAACGCUGGCGGCGUGCCUAAUACAUGCAAGUCGAGCGAACGGACGAGAAGCUUGCUUCUCUGUUGUUAGCGGCGGACGGGUGAGUAACACGUGGAUAACCUACCUAUAAGACUGGGAUAACUUCGGGAAACCGUAGCUAAUACCGGAUAAUAUUUUGAACCGCAUGGUUCAAAAGUGAAAGACGGUCUUGCUGUCACUUAUAGAUGGAUCCGCGCUGCAUUAGCUAGUUGGUAAGGUAACGGCUUACCAAGGCAACGAUGCAUAGCCGACCUGAGAGGGUGAUCGGCCACACUGGAACUGAGACACGGUCCAGACUCCUACGGGAGGCAGCAGUAGGGAAUCUUCCGCAAUGGGCGAAAGCCUGACGGAGCAACGCCGCGUGAGUGAUGAAGGUCUUCGGAUCGUAAAACUCUGUUAUUAGGGAAGAACAUAUGUGUAAGUAACUGUGCACAUCUUGACGGUACCUAAUCAGAAAGCCACGGCUAACUACGUG
rnacentral:rRNA from 1 species